UACGGGGGGAGCAAGCGUUGUUCGGAUUUACUGGGCGUAAAGGGCGCGUAGGCGGUCAGCACAAGUCAGUUGUGAAAUCUCCGGGCUUAACUCGGAAAGGUCAACUGAUACUGUGCGACUAGAGUGCAGAAGGGGCAACUGGAAUUCUCGGUGUAGCGGUGAAAUGCGUAGAUAUCGGGAGGAACACCAGUGGCGAAGGCGGCCCUCUGGACAGGUACUGACGCUGAGACGCGAAAGCGUGGGUAGCAAACAGG
rnacentral:rRNA from 1 species